GACCACCUAAAAUCAGCCAAGAUGCCCCUACUUCCUUUGGGAAUCCUUCUGUAACUCAUUUGUUUGGACGGAGAAAGAAUUUGAGGAAGAUUAGGUAACUUGUCCAAGAUGCACUGCCUAGUCAUUCUUCUUGAAAAUGCACCAGGCUCCCCUGUGUUUGAAGAACACAUGAAAGAGAAUUCUAGCGAUGUCAGAUCUAGGU